rnacentral:rRNA from 1 species
UACGUAGGGGGCGAGCGUUAAUCGGAAUUACUGGGCGUAAAGCGUGCGCAGGCGGUCUGUUAAGACCGAUGUGAAAUCCCCGGGCUUAACCUGGGAACUGCAUUGGUGACUGGCAGGCUUUGAGUGUGGCAGAGGGGGGUAGAAUUCCACGUGUAGCAGUGAAAUGCGUAGAGAUGUGGAGGAAUACCGAUGGCGAAGGCAGCCCCCUGGGCCAACACUGACGCUCAUGCACGAAAGCGUGGGGAGCAAACAGG